UGGUUGUGGAGCAUGUUCUGUUCAUAUGACUUGAUCUUUAAGGCUUAAACAUGUGGUUUGAUUAUGAUUCAAAGGUGUGUAAAUUGGGAAAGACUGAAACAUGAUUUCAUGGUUGUUAUGGUAAUUUCAAAUGUAGAAUCUCUUUGUGAGAUUCGUAGUGUUUUACAAUGAAAGUAGGAGCUCAAUCUUGGGGAUCUUCCUG
rnacentral:lncRNA from 1 species